CUACAGCAACGUCUCCACACCAGACCUGACAGUGCAAUCUCAUUCUGGGUUUACGUGUAUGCCGGCAUUAGUCAUGUAAAUGGUAUAGGCCUAUGUUGGGUAAAGUCGUAAUUGAUGAGUACUCCGAUUAAAACAUCUCCUUUUAUCUAGCUAAUCGGAGUGUCUGCAGUGUUUAAUCUGCGAAUGUUCUAUAGCAAACUGCACCAGUGAAAACGAAGAAGUGAGUUCGAAAAAUCUGAAAGUAGGAAAUCCAACACAUUAUAGAAAUGUUUUUCACAAAAUGAAUGUGGCUUCUCAAAAAUAACAUUGUCGUUGAUAAAACGUUUAUUUUGAUUAGAAUCCCCAUAAGAACCAGAUGUAGCAGCCUCUCUCCCGUCUCUUAAACCAGGUUAUUAUGGAAGUCGCUUUUCUUGCAAGCAUGAUGUAUAGUUGAACUUAUCAUCGACAUAUCAUAUUGUAAACGUCAAAUGGAACAAAAUGUAUGUCUUUAUAUGUUGUUGCAUACGUUUGGUUGUAGUUGUGUUAUAAACAUCACAUUGUUUUCUGUAGCCAAAAAUCUUUGGUGUAGCUCCUCCGUGCGUACAGACGCUACCAUUAACAUUUUCACUUCCUGGUCUAGUACGCAGCUGUGAGAGCGAGCGGACGAGCAGGCAUCCACCGCGUUGCUGUGGCAGUGGGACCCUGGGAGCAGGAGAGGUCCACUCAUCUACGAUCCUCGGCUCAAUACAGACAUAACUUUUCAAGGCAACUGACACGUCUCAAAGGAGGACAGGAGAAAGACAUCGGAAACCCCGAGAGGCAACCAUAGUGAAUCUGGACAGGGACAAGAAAAAGAGAGGCCACAGUACAUUAUAGAGUCCGCUGUUGCUGCUGCUGUACUCAAGAGACAGUCUCUCUAUCAGAAUCUUCUCCUGACCGUGGUUCUACCAGAGAGACAGAAGCAGAGAGGCUGUGUGUCCAGAGCUCUCCAGUACAGUCUCUGGAGCUCUAUCCUGCUGCCAUGGCCCUUGAGUGCACUGCGUCCCAUUGGUGAGCGAGGGGCAUCAGAGGGCAGAAGACAUGUUGGGACAGAGGCCUGGGGACCGCACUGAAGCUUGCUGUAGUAACCAUGGAAAUGCUAUGGAGGACCUUGGCCUGCAUUGUUGUCAUCAUCGUCAUGGUUGCCACCGAGGUCGCAGAAAGUCAGACUGCUGAAAAGUUCACCCAGUCACAAGGUGAGCAGAGAUCGGGUCGACUCCAUUCUUCUCUUCUGUUUGACAUAAAUGGACAUGUUUAAAUGUAUAAAUGUUGAUCCUGAAUAUACAGUAUGAUUGCAGUAUGUUAUUAUUACUAUCAUAUUGUAUUAUUCUCUAUCCUGAACUGUGAAAGUGCUUCAACAUUUCUAGUCCUGGUGCCUCACUCAAACAGGUAAAGAACCAAUUCAAUGAGCUGUUCCAUACAGUGGGGAGGGUGUCUUCUAACCUGACCCACACACCAGGGCAGAGUGGCCCUGCUAAACUUGAACCCUGCUCUCACAAAUCAACUCCAGAGACAGAGAGCCAUGCGCCAACCCCCUAACACUAACCCCACCACUCCUCAGCCAGACCAAUCCCAUUUAGGCUCGGA
rnacentral:lncRNA from 13 species